GACGUAAUGAAUUACCAUGAGAGGGCGUGGCUUCACAAUGCCGUGAUGACACGCCCAAAGUGGGCGUGGUCUCAGAGCGGAAAGAGGGCGUACCUCAAACCCCAAAGUGGGCGUGGCUCCCACCUGCCAAACCCCCGCCCCUUCCAGGUGUGGGCGUGGCCUGGCGCCAGGUACGGGGUGGGCGUGGCGGGUCGCGGUCACGUGACGCGGGGCGGGGCCUCGGGAGCGGCCCCGGAAGCGGGGAAGGGACGGGACAGGUUCAUAUUUGGGGUCCCCCCAUGGCCGCUGCCCCCGCCCUGGCCCUGGCCCUGCCCUGCCUCGCCCUGGCCCAGACCUCUCCCAGUAUAACCAGUAACGGCUCCAGUAACGGCACCGCCCCCCAGCCCGGGGGGGGGGCUCUCGCCCGCGGGGGUGGUCGCUCUCUCGGUGAUUUUCGGGGGUCUGGGGGCGCUGGCGCUGCUGGGGCUGCUGCUGCUGGCGGCGCUGCGCCUGCGCGAGAAGCGCCGCACCGAGGGCUCCUACCGGCCCAGCCGCGAGGAGAUGGGGGGGGGCGCCAGGGCAGCCCCCCCGGGCCCCGCCCCGCUGCGCCUGCCCCCCGAGGAGCGCCUCAUCUGAGACCCCGCCCCGAAUUCUGACCCCGCCCCGAAUUCGGGGCUGCUUUGGACCAUGGGAGUCGUUUUGGGGGGUUUUGGGGAGGGUCCCAAAGGGGUGAGACCCCCCCUGUGUGACCCCCCCUGUGUGAUCCCCCCUGUGUGACCCUCCCCGGCCCCAUUUGAGACCCCCCCCCGAAUUUGGGGUUCGUUUGGGCCAUGGGGUAUUUUGGGGGAUUUCGGGAGGGUCCCAAGGGGUGAGACCCCCGUGGCCCCCCCCAGAAGCGCCUCAUCUGAGACCCCGCCCCGAAUUUGGGACCCCUCCCCGAAUUCGGGGUUCGUUUGGACCAUGGGAGUCGUUUUGGGGGGUUUUGGGGAGGGUCCCAAAGGGGUGAGACCCCCGUUGUGUGACCCCCCCUGUGUGAUCCCCCCAUCCCCCGAGGAGCGCCUCAUUUGAGACCCCUCCCCGAAUUUGGGGUUCGUUUGGGCCAUGGGAGUCGUUUUGGGGGGGUUUGGGGAGGGUCCCAAAGGGGUGAGACCCCCCUGUGUGACCCCCCCAUCCCCCCAGAAGCGCCUCAUCUGAGACCCCGCCCCGAAUUUGGGACCCUCCCCGAAUUCGGGGUUCCUUUGGGCCAUGGGAGUCAUUUUGGGGGGUUUUGGGGGGUCCCAAAGGGGUGAGACCCCCCCGUGUGACCCCCGUGUGACCCCUCCCCACGAGGAGCGCCUCAUCUGAGACCCCGCCCCGAAUUUGGGACCCCUCCCCGAAUUUGGGACCCCUCCCCGAAUUUGGGGUUCGUUUGGGCCAUGGGAGUCGUUUUGGGGGGGUUUUGGGGGUCCCAAAGGGGUGAGACCCCCCCCGGAUUGCUCUUUGGGGACCCCCCAUGAGGAGGGGAUGGUGUGGGACCCCUCCCCAAAUUCUGGAGUGGUUGUGACCCCCCCCACCCCAAAAUUUGGGGGUCAUUUGGAGCCCCCUCCCCAAAAUUUUGGGGUCACUUGGGGCCCCCAUUUGGACCAUGGGAAUAAUUUUGGGGGGGUCCAGGGGGGGUUUUAGGGAGUCCAGAAGGGUUGAGACCCCCCCCAGAUUUGAGGAGAAGCUCGUCUGGGACCCCUCCCCAAAUUUUGGAGUGGUUGUGACCCCCCCUCAAAAUUUUGGGGCUCAUUUGGGGCCCCCUCCCCAAAAUUUUGGGUCUCGUUUGGACCAUGGGAGUCAUUUUGGGGGGGGGUCCUGGGGGGUUUUGGAGGGGUCCAGGAGGUUUUAGCCCCCCCCCCAAUUUGAGGAGGGGCUCGUCAGGGACCCCUCCCCAAAUUUUGGAGCAGCUGUGACCCCCCACCCCAAAAUUUGGGGUCAUUUGGGACCACCCCCCAAAAAAAUCUGAGCUGGUUUGAGACCCCCC
rnacentral:lncRNA from 1 species